rnacentral:rRNA from 2 species
AGCGGAGCUUGCUCUGGCUGACGAGUGGCGGACGGGUGAGUAAUGCAUAGGAAUCUGCCCAGUAGCGGGGGACAACUUGGUGAAAACCAAGCUAAUACCGCAUACGCCCUACGGGGGAAAGCGGGGGACCUUCGGGCCUCGCACUAUUGGAUGAGCCUAUGUCUGAUUAGCUAGUUGGUAGGGUAAAAGCCUACCAAGGCGACGAUCAGUAGCUGGUUUGAGAGGAUGAUCAGCCACACUGGGACUGAGACACGGCCCAGACUCC